CUCUUACACCUAAUUAUAGAAAAAGACACUUAAAAGAGGCCAACAAAGGUUAUCACUGGGUACAAGUUAAACCAAAUUAGCUGGUAUAAAUAUCAACAAUUUUGAAAAAGAAAAAGAAUGAAGAACGUUAUGAAGAUUUUGUUUGUACUUUCUAUCAUCAUGUGCAUCCUCCUAACAUGUACCGUUGCUAGGAGUGGUGUGAGUCGCGGCAGUGGAAGGACUUCAACCACAACCAAUUGGACCCCAGCAGUACGUGCUGCUAACCGUGCCAGCAACAACUCAUCAUCAUCCACUGCCACCCCCUUCUGCAUGUCCUCUAUAGCUAUGGCUCUAUUUGCUUGCCUUGCAUUUGUUUGCUUUUGAUAUACAUACAUUGAGCCACAGGAUUCAUAAUUCCAUAUUCUCAAAGUACUCUAUGCAUAUGGGGAGCUUUAGAGCAUUGGGAUGUCCCUUUUUCUUUUUUCUUUUUUUUUUUUAGUUGUGAGUGUGAAUUGUAAAAUUUAUGUGUAAUUUUAUCUACAAUUAUUUUAUUUAUUUUAUGGGUAAGGUUCAUUUGACCACAGAGUCAUGAGUAUCAACCAUACUUGUGAACCCCCGUCGUUAGAUCUGCCAUUGUUAAUAGGUAUAUAUAUAUAUAUAUAUAUAUAUAUAUAUAUUGAUUUGUAUGAAACACAUUUGUUUACUUAUUGCGA
rnacentral:lncRNA from 1 species